GACGAACGCUGGCGGCGUGCCUAAUACAUGCAAGUAGAACGCUGAAGAGAGGAGCUUGCUCUUCUUGGAAGAGUUGCGAACGGGUGAGUAACGCGUAGGUAACCUGCCUUGUAGCGGGGGAUAACUAUUGGAAACGAUAGCUAAUACCGCAUAACAAUGGGUGACCCAUGUCAUUUAUUUGAAAGGGGCAAAUGCUCCACUACAAGAUGGACCUGCGUUGUAUUAGCUAGUAGGUGAGGUAACGGCUCACCUAGGCGACGAUACAUAGCCGACCUGAGAGGGUGAUCGGCCACACUGGGACUGAGACACGGCCCAGACUCCUACGGGAGGCAGCAGUAGGGAAUCUUCGGCAAUGGGGGCAACCCUGACCGAGCAACGCCGCGUGAGUGAAGAAGGUUUUCGGAUCGUAAAGCUCUGUUGUAAGUCAAGAACGAGUGUGAGAGUGGAAAGUCACACUGUGACG
rnacentral:rRNA from 1 species